rnacentral:lncRNA from 1 species
GCGCAGAGCCCGCCGCGAGCGCAGGGGACCGUUGGGGUCGUGGGUGGUGAGGAAGCAUGCUGGGUACUCUUCUAGAUUGAAGUUAUGGGCCGCCAGAUGAGGUCCAGAGUAGAAACCCGGAGAACUAACUCUUCAUGGGGCUCUCAGGGACAUUAGCUCUCUCCAGAGGCAUUUAUUGGGGGUACUGAAAGGAUGAAGAAGCCGAUGCGGCCCACGCCCGCCCCUUCGGUCCACUUCCAGUCCCGCCGUAGAGAAAGUCUGUUCCGGGCUCGCGGAGGUCGUCCUCAGAGUUAAAAGAUGCCGCGCGCGGACCCUGUGGGUCUGGUUCCCUCCGGGCUUAAGAUAAAAAACAUCUUGUAGGACUUGAAUGGUGUUUUCUAUUAGGGCAUUUUGAAGCAUUCACCAAAAGUUGUGUAUUAAACUGUUCAACGGUUAGCUGCAUUUUGCCGAUUUUUAAUGUAUUCCCCCAUACCCCCUACUUACAGUGUCUUAAGGGAAAUCAUUCGUUU